rnacentral:rRNA from 1 species
CUCCUACGGGAGGCAGCAGUUAGGAAUAUUGGUCAAUGGACGAGAGUGUGAACCAGCCAAGUAGCGUGAAGGAUGACGCCCUAUGGGUUGUAAACUUCUUUUAUAUGGGAAUAAAGUAUUCCACGUGUGGAAUUUUGUAUGUACCAUAUGAAUAAGGAUCGGCUAACUCCGUGCCAGCAGCCGCGGUAAUACGGAGGAUCCGAGCGUUAUCCGGAUUUAUUGGGUUUAAAGGGAGCGUAGGUGGAUUGUUAAGUCAGUUGUGAAAGUUUGCGGCUCAACCGUAAAAUUGCAGUUGAAACUGGCAGUCUUGAGUACAGUAGAGGUGGGCGGAAUUCGUGGUGUAGCGGUGAAAUGCUUAGAUAUCACGAAGAACUCCGAUUGCGAAGGCAGCUCACUAGACUGCAACUGACACUGAUGCUCGAAAGUGUGGGUAUCAAACAGGAUUAGAUACCCUGGUAGUCCACACAGUAAACGAUGAAUACUCGCUGUUUGCGAUAUACAGUAAGCGGCCAAGCGAAAGCAUUAAGUAUUCCACCUGGGGAGUACGCCGGCAACGGUGAAACUCAAAGGAAUUGACGGGGGCCCGCACAAGCGGAGGAACAUGUGGUUUAAUUCGAUGAUACGCGAGGAACCUUACCCGGGCUUAAAUUGCAUUUGAAUAAUCUGGAAACAGGUUAGCCGCAAGGCAAAUGUGAAGGUGCUGCAUGGUUGUCGUCAGCUCGUGCCGUGAGGUGUCGGCUUAAGUGCCAUAACGAGCGCAACCCUUAUCUUUAGUUACUAACAGGUCAUGCUGAGGACUCUAGAGAAACUGCCGUCGUAAGAUGUGAGGAAGGUGGGGAUGACGUCAAAUCAGCACGGCCCUUACGUCCGGGGCUACACACGUGUUACAAUGGGGGGUACAGAAGGCAGCUACCUGGCGACAGGAUGCUAAUCCCAAAAACCUCUCUCAGUUCGGAUCGAAGUCUGCAACCCGACUUCGUGAAGCUGGAUUCGCUAGUAAUCGCGCAUCAGCCAUGGCGCGGUGAAUACGUUCCCGGGCCUUGUACACACCGC